rnacentral:rRNA from 1 species
CGGCGAAGUUGAAGCGGCAAGAGCUCAAAUUCUGAAAGCUGGCCCCCUCGGGGUCCGCGUUGUAAUUUGCAGAGGAUGCUUCGGGUGCAGCCCCCGUCUAAGUGCCCUGGAACGGGCCGUCAUAGAGGGUGAGAAUCCCGUCUGGGACGGGGUGUCUGCGUCCGUGUGAAGCUCCUUCGACGAGUCGAGUUGUUUGGGAAUGCAGCUCUAAAUGGGUGGUAAAUUUCAUCUAAAGCUAAAUACUGGCCGGAGACCGAUAGCGCACAAGUAGAGUGAUCGAAAGAUGAAAAGCACUUUGAAAAGAGAGUUAAACAGCACGUGAAAUUGUUGAAAGGGAAGCGUUUGCGACCAGACUCGCCCGCGGGGUUCAGCCGGCACUCGUGCCGGUGUACUUCCCCGUGGGCGGGCCAGCGUCGGUUUGGGCGGCCGGUCAAAGGCCCUCGGAAUGUAUCACCUCUCGGGGUGUCUUAUAGCCGAGGGUGCAAUGCGGCCUGCCCGGACCGAGGAACGCGCUUCGGCUCGGACGCUGGCGUAAUGGUCGUAAAUGAC